GACGAACCGAGCGAACGUUAUUCGGAAUCACUGGGCUUAAAGGGCGCGUAGGCGGGCGAUCAAGUCAGGGGUGAAAGCCUCCAGCUCAACUGGAGAAGUGCCUCUGAUACUGGUCAUCUCGAGGGAGGUAGGGGCGUGCGGAACUUCCGGUGGAGCGGUGAAAUGCGUAGAUAUCGGAAGGAACACCGGUGGCGAAAGCGGCGCGCUGGACCUCUUCCGACGCUGAGGCGCGAAAGCCAGGGGAGCGAACGGG
rnacentral:rRNA from 1 species